UAUGAGGUGGUCGAAGUUUUAGUCGGUAGAUUGUAAAUCUAUUUAUAAGUAUAUACUUUCUCAUGG
rnacentral:tRNA from 1 species